GGGAUAAGCACCAGAAAUGGUGUCUAAUACCGCAUGUGCUCUAAGGAGUAAAGCUUCGGCGCUUUGGGAACGGCCUGCGCAUGAUUAGCUUGUUGGUGAGGUAAAAGCUCACCAAGGCGAUGAUCAUUAGCUGGUCUGAGAGGAUGAUCAGCCAGACUGGGACUGAGAACGGCCCAGACUCCUACGGGAGGCAGCAGUAGGGAAUUUUCCACAAUGGACGAAAGUCUGAUGGAGCAACGCCGCGUGCAGGAUGAAUGCCUUCGGGUUGUAAACUGCUUUUAUCUGUGACGAAUAUGACGGUAGCAGAUGAAUAAGGAUCGGCUAACUCCGUGCCAGCAGCCGCGGUCAUACGGAGGAUCCAAGCGUUAUCCGGAAUUACUGGGCGUAAAGAGUUGCGUAGGUGGCAUAGUAAGUUGGUAGUGAAAGCGUGGGGCUCAACCUCAUAACCAUUACCAAAACUGCUAAGCUAGAGGAUGAGAGAGGUCGUUGGAAUUCCUUGUGUAGGAGUGAAAUCCGUAGAUAUAAGGAGGAACACCGAUGGCGAAGGCAGACGACUGGCUCAUUCCUGACACUGAGGCACGAAAGCGUGGGGAGCAAACGGGAUUAGAUACCCCGGUAGUCCACGCCGUAAACUAUGGAUGCUAGCUGUUAGGAGUAUCGACCCUCCUAGUAGCGAAGCUAACGCGUUAAGCAUCCCGCCUGUGGAGUACGAGCGCAAGCUUAAAACAUAAAGGAAUUGACGGGGACCCGCACAAGCGGUGGAGCGUGUUCUUUAAUUCGAAGGUAAGCGAAGAACCUUACCCAGGUUUGACAUCCUGCAAAGGCAUCCGAAAGGAUACUGUGCCCUCGGGAAUGCAGUGACAGGUGAUGCAUGGCCGUCGUCAGCUCGUGUCGUGAGAUGUUUGGUUAAGUCCAUCAACGGGCGCAACCCUUAUAGUUAGUUGGAUUUUUCUAGCUAGACUGCCCUGGCAACAGGGAGGAAGGAGGGGAUGAUGUCAGGUCAGUAUUUCCCUUACAUCUGGGGCUAGAAACACGCUACAAUGGCCGGUACAAAGGGCAGCCAAGUCGCGAGACGGAGCAAAUCCCAUCAAAGCCGGUCCCAGUUCGGAUAGGAGGCUGAAACUCGCCUCCUUGAAGUCGGAAUCGCUAGUAAC
rnacentral:rRNA from 1 species